CAUCAGUAAAACUUUCUUGGCCAUCUCUCUCUCUUGGUGCUUUCUUUGCAUCCCUACCAUUUCCAACAACCAGGGGUCUCCAACUGUUUAUCAUUCAGGCUUUUUAGUACUUCUUAGUUAAGAUGAUUGGACUAGAGAGAUUUGUGGUGACAAUAAAAUCAAAACUGAAAGGAUUGAAGUCAGGAUCAUCAUCAUCAUCAUCAAAACACAACUACAACCAUAAAGCUGCUGCUUCAGCUAAUUAUUAUGAUAAGAUAGAUAAGAGUGGAAGUAUGAGGAUUGAAAUCAGCAGUAGAAAAGCUCAGAAACUCAUUCAGAAAACUCUUAAAAUUGCUGAUUCACCCAUCAACAAAACUUACGCCUUUUGAAUUCCAUUAGCAUACAUGAAGGACUUGUAUUUUGGAAUUAUCAUGCAUCACAUCAUCAUCAUCAUCUUCAUGUAAUAAUAAUAAUAAUUUCUACCAGUGGGAUUUUCUAUAUUUACAUGGAUGGGGGUACUUGUUCUUGUUCUUGUUCUUUUUCACUUUUUAGGUAUGUUUGUAAUCACCACCACUCAGAUAUAUCGGGUUUCUAGUAGAUAAUACAAGGAUUUUUCCAUCUUUAGAUUCA